ensembl:lncRNA
UGCCAUCUUAAAGCAAAUAGCCUUAUAUUGUAUCUAUUUAUCACCAUCUCAUCAAAAUUUACUGCUGGAAAUUAACAAGGCAGGAAAUUAAAAUAUCCAGAGCAGAUCCCACCUGUCUUCAUGCAGACAAAACUUCCUUUGAAAAAAAUACAAGUUUUUGGAAUGACGAUAGCACUGAGCCCCCACAGUUUGCCUCGUUAAGGUUUACAAGCCAUUUCCUUUACAAACAGUUCUGAGGCUGAGAUUUAAUGAGGUUUAUAUCUAAUAGUAAAAUUAGAAUGAAGAUUCAGUGAGUGUUGAGUGUCCCUCCCACACUCAAUGAUUUAACCUAGGGAAAAAUUUCACGUACUGAAAGAGAUUGCCAGUGUUGUUAAAAAGAAAAUCUGGUCAGGACAAAAGAGUAGGUUUCUAGAAGGAAAAGUAAAUAAAUCCAAUUACUUGCUUGGAUUGUUUAGCUAUUUGGAACUUCGGAUAGACGGGAAUGCUGAUUAUGUCUUAUUUUUACCUGCAGGAUGCCUGUGUACCCUUUUUGAAGUUCUGGGGGUGUUUCCCUCUUCCUCAGAUGAGCUCUUUGCAAAAAUCCUGCAAACAAGAGAAGAUGAGGCUGGUAAUGUAAUGGAGGGAUAUAAGCGUCAUAAUCCAAAGCUCCACUGCAGGAAGCCACGUACUUAAGUCUUUUGGGACAAUUUCCUCAGAACUGUGAAAAACUACUGUUGCAGCAUGCUCCUGUUUUGCCUAAUACAAACUGGGAGUCGGUCCCUGCUAUCUAAUGCAAUCCACUAGCGGAAAAGCACUGUCAGAAAAACAGAAACAGAAAUAUUUUUUCCAAGUAAAAAAAUUAAAGACAAAGUCUGAAAGUUUCGCUGCCAAAUGUAUUCGUUUCGAGUGUGUUUGUCUCAUGAACACUCCUGUGAGAAUUUGGAGCACUUUAGAGUAGAGCUUGCACCAUGGCAUGCUUCAGCACAGAGCCUGAGUUCCUGUUGUAAAGGUGAAUAUCGUUCUCAUUUUAUAGGCGCUGAAAUUGAAUUAGAGAGUAUUUAGAUGCAGCAGAGCAAUGCAUAAUGUGACUUUAAGCAUACAAAUGUCUUAUUUUGGAACUACUCAAAUGCUUUAAACAAGUCAUGGUUUAAAUGGCUUGUCCAAAACCAUACAGCCAGGAAGAUGAGGGAGAGGGUCCGGCUCCUUACUGAGUUCUUUAAAGAAAGUAUCCUAAAUAUAAAUAGCACAUCUCCAUCGAGGCUACAGGUGCUCAUAUUGAAGCUGUUUCUCUUUUUGGAAUGUAAUGAAUGCUGGCCAGCAAAUAUUGUAAAAGGUACUUUGUGACAUCGAAGUCAACACAGUAAUUAUAUUCAAUAUCCUGUGUUUUUGUCAGGCUUUCUUCUAGACAACUGAAUAUAAACUAGAGCACUGAUAAGCAAAGUAUUCUCCAGGAAGGAUACAAGACUACUUUAUUGCUUCACAUAACUUUUUUUUCAGUUUGCACUUACAUGGUAUCAAAGUAAUAUCACAUUGAAAACGUGACUGUGUGUGCAAGGAGUCGUGCUUCAGAGGAGGAGUUCUUUUCUCUUUCCUGUCUCUUCCAGAGAUAACUGGUCUUUCUGGCAUUAACUGGUGGUUUCACCGGAGCACGCAGCAUUGUGAUUAACCAGGGGCUUCAACUGAAAGGCAUGCAUGCAUUUUUGCAAUUUAAUGAUAAAGAUAUGUGUGCUUUGAAAACAUAUUAG